UUACGCCCAUAUCACGUUGAAACACCGGUUCCCGUGCGAUCACUGAAGUUAAGCAACAUCGAGCCUGGUCAGUACCUAGAUGGGUGACCGCUUGUG